rnacentral:ncRNA from 2 species
CGAUUCCCCACUGGAGAGAGGUCGGCCCCGGCGCUUGGCGCUAUAGCAGAUCCACCGAAGGAGCAACCCAAAACCAGCGCCUCAUGCGACUGGUGGCGGCGAAUCUCUCAGGUAAAGCGGACAGCGGGGGCAGC